rnacentral:rRNA from 1 species
GACGAACGCUGGCGGCGUGCUUAACACAUGCAAGUCGAACGAUGAAGCUAGAGCUUGCUCUGGUGGAUUAGUGGCGAACGGGUGAGUAACACGUGAGUAACCUGCCCCGAACUCUGGGAUAACUGCUGGAAACGGUAGCUAAUACCGAAUAUGACCAAUGAAGGCAUCUUCUGUUGGUGGAAAGAAUUUCGGUUCGGGAUGGACUCGCGGCCUAUCAGCUUGUUGGUGAGGUAACGGCUCACCAAGGCGACGACGGGUAGCCGGCCUGAGAGGGUGAUCGGCCGCACUGGGACUGAGACACGGCCCAGACUCCUACGGGAGGCAGCAGUGGGGAAUAUUGCACAAUGGGCGCAAGCCUGAUGCAGCAACGCCGCGUGAGGGACGACGGCCUUCGGGUUGUAAACCUCUUUUAGUAGGGAAGAAGCGAAAGUGACGGUACCUGCAGAAAAAGCACCGGCUAACUACGUGCCAGCCGCCGCCGUAA